rnacentral:rRNA from 1 species
UCCAAACCCUGUGAACAUACCAAUUGUUGCCUCGGCGGAUCAGCCCGCUCCCGGUAAAACGGGACGGCCCGCCAGAGGACCCACAAACUCUGUUUCUAUAUGUAACUUCUGAGUAAAACCAUAAAUAAAUCAAAACUUUCAACAACGGAUCUCUUGGUUCUGGCAUCGAUGAAGAACGCAGCAAAAUGCGAUAAGUAAUGUGAAUUGCAGAAUUCAGUGAAUCAUCGAAUCUUUGAACGCACAUUGCGCCCGCCAGUAUUCUGGCGGGCAUGCCUGUUCGAGCGUCAUUUCAACCCUCAAGCCCAGCUUGGUGUUGGGACUCGCGAGUCAAAUCGCGUUCCCCAAAUUGAUUGGCGGUCACGUCGAGCUUCCAUAGCGUAGUAGUAAAACCCUCGUUACUGGUAAUCGUCGCGGCCACGCCGUUAAACCCCAACUUCUGAAUGUUGACCUCGGAUCAGGUAGGAAUACCCGCUGAACUUAAGCAUAUCAAUAAGCCGGGAGGA